rnacentral:snoRNA from 1 species
AACCCAUGGUGAGGGCACUUUCUCAAUAGAUCUUUGUAUCUCUCCUAUGCAUUAUAAAGGGUUUCUAAAUCCAUCUGCACAAAAGAAGAGAUGUCAUACCUUAGUUU